rnacentral:lncRNA from 1 species
AUGCAAAUUUUUCUGUCAUCUUUGCUUCGCUUUGCGUCGCAUUCAGUGUGUCAUGGCCUUAAUAUAUCCAGAAGUACUUUAGACACUGCAUUAGCUAGAAAAACAUACGAACAAGAUAUAAAAAUUAAUUGGGAUGGAGCUAAAAUAAUCAAACAUCUUCGGGGUAGUUUCGGUAUGGCUAUGUUUGAGGCUAUCGAAAUUGAAAAAAAAAUCCUCCCAUAAUAUAAUUAACGAUAACCAAUCAGCAACAUUACCGAAAGCAUGGAAAUGGUUGUUCAAAGAAAAAUGUAGGCUGACCCGGUUCUAUUCUGCAGAUCCAUGAUGCCAAUUGUCAUGUAGUACGCAUCAUGCGCGAUUUAUCUUAUCUACGAUGUAUACGCCAAAGAGCAUUGUUGUGUUGUAUGUCAUGGUGCUUGGAUAGCCAUGUAUAAACAUUAUAGGCUUGUUCCCCUGCACUUUUAGUUUUUAAGUUGUAUUCGUGUAUAUGUCUAGCUGAUGUACGCAUGUCUUUAUGUAUUGUGUUUUAAAUUAUUGGUUGUUCUAUUUUAUGUUCUUUUUUAGAAUUUUAUAACUGUUAUGUUCUUAGAAUAUAUUUAUCUAUA